rnacentral:rRNA from 1 species
AACGAACGCUGGCGGCAGGCCUAACACAUGCAAGUCGAACGAGAAGCUACCUUCGGGUAGUGGAAAGUGGCAGACGGGUGAGUAACGCGUGGGAAUAUACCUAGAGGUACGGGACAACGCCGGGAAACUGGUGCUAAUACCGUAUACGCCCUUCGGGGGAAAGAUUUAUCGCCUUUAGAUUAGCCCGCGUUAGAUUAGCUUGUUGGUGAGGUAAAAGCUCACCAAGGCGACGAUCUAUAGCUGGUCUGAGAGGAUGAUCAGCCACACUGGGACUGAGACACGGCCCAGACUCCUACGGGAGGCAGCAGUGGGGAAUCUUGCACAAUGGGCGAAAGCCUGAUGCAGCCAUGCCGCGUGAGUGAUGAAGGCCUUAGGGUUGUAAAACUCUUUCAGUGGGGAAGAUAAUGACGUACCCACAGAAGAAGCUCCGCUAAC